rnacentral:rRNA from 1 species
CCUACGGGUGGCUGCAGUGGGGAAUAUUGCACAAUGGGGGAAACCCUGAUGCAGCGACGCCGCGUGAGUGAAGAAGUAUUUCGGUACGUAAAGCUCUAUCAGCAGGGAAGAAAAUGACGGUACCUGACUAAGAAGCCCCGGCUAACUACGUGCCAGCAGCCGCGGUAAUACGUAGGGGGCAAGCGUUAUCCGGAUUUACUGGGUGUAAAGGGAGCGGAGGCGGCAAGGUAAGCCAGAAGUGAAAGCCCGCGGCUCAACUGCGGGGCUGCAUUUGGAACUAACUGGCUAGAGUGCAGGAGAGGUAAGUGGAAUUCCUAGUGUAGCGGUGAAAUGCGUAGAUAUUAGGAGGAACACCAGUGGCGAAGGCGGCUUACUGGACUGUAAAUGACGCUGAGGCUCGAAAGCGUGGGGAGCAAACAGGAUUAGAUACCCGGGUAGUC